rnacentral:rRNA from 1 species
UACGUAGGGGGCGAGCGUUGUCCGGAUUUAUUGGGCGUAAAGAGUGUGUAGGCGGUUCGGUAAGUCUGUCGUGAAAUCCUGAGGCUCAACCCUCGAAUGCCGGUGGAUACUGUCGGGCUAGAGUGCGGAAGAGGCGAGUGGAAUUCCUGGUGUAGCGGUGAAAUGCGCAGAUAUCAGGAGGAACACCUAUUGCGAAGGCAGCUCGCUGGGACGUAACUGACGCUGAGACGCGAAAGCGUGGGGAGCAAACAGG